rnacentral:rRNA from 1 species
CUCCGGUUGAUCCCGCCGGACCCGACUGCUAUCAGAGUGGGACUAAGCCAUGCGAGUCAACAUAGCAAUAUGUGGCAUACGGCUCAGUAACACGUAGUCAACAUGCCCAGGGGACGUGGAUAACCUCGGGAAACUGAGGAUAAACCGCGAUAGGUCAUCACUUCUGGAAUGGGUAAUGACUUAAAUCUAUAUGGCCCCUGGAUUGGACUGCGGCCGAUCAGGCUGUUGGUGAGGUAAUGGCCCACCAAACCUGUAACCGGUACGGGCUCUGAGAGGAGGAGCCCGGAGAUGGGCACUGAGACAAGGGCCCAGGCCCUAUGGGGCGCAGCAGGCGCGAAACCUCUGCAAUAGGCGAAAGCUUGACAGGGUUACUCUGAGUGAUUUCCGUUAAGGAGAUCUUUUGGCACCUCUAAAAAUGGUGCAGAAUAAGGGGUGGGCAAGUCUGGUGUCAGCCGCCGCGGUAAUACCAGCACCCCGAGUGGUCGGGACGUUUAUUGGGCCUAAAGCAUCCGUAGCCGGUUCUACAAGUCUUCCGUUAAAUCCACCUGCUUAACAGAUGGGCUGCGGAAGAUACUAUAGAGCUAGGAGGCGGGAGAGGCAAGCGGUACUCGAUGGGUAGGGGUAAAAUCCGUUGAUCCAUUGAAGACCACCAGUGGCGAAGGCGGCUUGCCAGAACGCGCUCGACGGUGAGGGAUGAAAGCUGGGGGAGCAAACCGGAUUAGAUACCCGGGUAGUCCCAGCUGUAAACGAUGCAGACUCGGUGAUGAGUUGGCUUAUUGCUAACUCAGUGCCGCAGGGAAGCCGUUAAGUUUGCCGCCUGGGGAGUACGGUCGCAAGACUGAAACUUAAAGGAAUUGGCGGGGGAGCA